rnacentral:sRNA from 1 species
GAUUUGAAAAUGCUGGACGUGGAACCCAGCUGCCGGAGGGAGGGAGGAAGGAAGGGGAUGCGGUGCGAAGACCGUGCUGUCUGUAGGGGGAGGAGUUACUAAUCAUGGGGCGGCAAGGGUGGUGUGUGGUCGGUCGGCGCUCACGAGACCAUGGAGAAGUAAACUCUUCACCCAUCAGGGAGGAGAAUGUCUUUUCGAGGCGGAGGUCGUGGAGGCUUUAAUCGAGGUGGUGGAGGUGGCGGCUUCAACCGAGGCGGCAGCAGCAACCACUUCCGAGGUGGAGGCGGCGGUGGAGGCGGCGGCAGUUUCAGAGGCGGCGGCAGGGGAGGAUUUGGACGAGGGCGUGGCCGCGGAGGCUUUAACAAAGGCCAAGACCAAGGACCUCCAGAACGUGUAGUCUUAUUAGGAGAGUUCCUGCAUCCCUGUGAAGAUGACAUAGUUUGUAAAUGUACCACAGAUGAAAAUAAGGUGCCUUAUUUCAAUGCUCCUGUUUACUUAGAAAACAAAGAACAAAUUGGAAAAGUGGAUGAAAUAUUUGGACAACUUAGAGAUUUUUAUUUUUCAGUUAAGUUGUCAGAAAACAUGAAGGCUUCAUCCUUUAAAAAACUACAGAAGGUGAGUCAAACUUAUGAUACUUGGGAUCCUUGGUUUUAUAAGGGAACGACCUAUCUUAGGAAAGUCCUACUUGGAGCACUUGAGACUUUCCCAACAUAUCACUAGUAAAGCUCUUAAACUGAAAUGUUCCAUGCUAUAAAUAUUGAACACACUAAUCUUUAAAAGUGAUUUAUUUGAUACAGCCUUUAGAAAGUAAAAAUUACAACUUUUGCUCAUAUUACCACAAUCUGUAAACUGCUAGAGUAAGAGUUUUUUGUUUAUGUAAAACUCUCUUAUUGAAAAGCUUUCAUGACCAAACAUUCUAGGUAGAAUCUUAAUUUAUAAAACUUAUGUUAUUUGAGAGGCGGUAGGUACUAAGUGAUUUCACAAGAACUUCAAUAACAUGAUAUAUGCUAUGAAGGAAAAAUACAGGUUGCCAUGAGAAGCUUUGUAGUGCCACCAGCUUUUUAGUCUGUAGUGUUUCCUGAAAAAGUGAGCUUGAAGCUGAGGCCUGAUUGUUGACUAACAGUGAUUUCCACACCUGGUU